rnacentral:lncRNA from 1 species
UGGACACAAAAGAAAGUACACAUCAAAAAAAGCCAUGUUAUAAUAAAGUUUCUUCAUAACAUUUUGGGGUACUCUCUUAGCUUGGCAACAUUGUGCAGUCAGCAUAAGCUCUAAAUAUUGAGUGUAAACAAGAACACCAAAUUUCCUAACAAUAAUCCAAGGCUUUACUUUUUUUCGGGUGAAAUGGGUAAUUCACACAACCCUUUAUCAGAGUACAAGGAUUCACGGAAAUGCCUCGAAGAGCAAGCAUCAGGGUCCCACACAAAGUUACCCAAGUGAUCUGAUAACACUAAUCCAAGGCUCAAAGUGCACAUCAUGACCAACAAAUAUGCCAGCACUGUGUCAACAGGUUCUAAUGGUGCAGGGAUAUGCACCAUUCUAUAGAUUAUGCUGGCCAAUAUCCAUGUGCAUCAACUCUUGCAGAUGCACACUGAAGCAAUAUACUCAUAGAAGAUACUGAUUCCCAUUUUAAACCUAUGCUCACCAUUUUUUUCUAGAUUACCUGGGAUUCAUGCCCUUAGUUUUUUUCUAUUUUUAUUUAGAGGAUUUAAGAAUCAGUCUACAAAUUGGAAAUGGUAAUCGCAAAGUCACUCUGAAUUUCACAAAAGAUAAAGGCAACACAUUAACUUUUCAUGGUACUGUCAAUAUGUAAUUAUCCUACAGUACUUGCAAUACAUUUACAUUGCCUAAA